ACUUAAAUAAUUUAAAUAAAAUAUUGAUGUGUGGAGUCAAAAAUAUGAGAAUUUCAUUUUAAGUU
rnacentral:tRNA from 1 species